UACGGAGGGUGCAAGCGUUGUUCGGAUUUAUUGGGCGUAAAGCGCGUGUAGGCGGUUUCUUAAGUCUGAUGUGAAAGCCCUGGGCUCAACCCAGGAAGUGCAUUGGAUACUGGGAAACUUGAAUACGGGAGAGGGUAGUGGAAUUCCUAGUGUAGGAGUGAAAUCCGUAGAUAUUAGGAGGAACACCGGUGGCGAAGGCGGCUACCUGGACCGAUAUUGACGCUGAGACGCGAAAGCGUGGGAGCAAACAGG
rnacentral:rRNA from 1 species